rnacentral:rRNA from 1 species
UACGUAGGGUGCAAGCGUUGUCCGGAAUUAUUGGGCGUAAAGAGCUCGUAGGCGGUUUGUCGCGUCUGCUGUGAAAACCCGAGGCUCAACCUCGGGCCUGCAGUGGGUACGGGCAGACUAGAGUGUGGUAGGGGAGACUGGAAUUCCUGGUGUAGCGGUGGAAUGCGCAGAUAUCAGGAGGAACACCGAGUGGCGAAGGCAGGUCUCUGGGCCACUACU